CAUCUAAUCCUACUCAGAUGAGCUGUAGAAAUCGAUGGGACACGGUGAGCAGCAUCCUGGGAUCACUGAGGUGGCCCCAUGUACCACUGGGAAGUGGAGGAUAAGCAACUGAUUCGCUUAAUGCUGUUGGGCCUGCCCUCCAUCUUCUGAGGAGCCCGGGUUUGAUCCCUGGUCGGGGAACUAGAUCCCACAUGCUGCAACUAAGAGUUCACAUGCUGCAACUGAAGACCCCGCAUGCCGCAACUAAAGAUCCCACGUGC